rnacentral:rRNA from 1 species
AUUGAACGCUGGCGGCAGGCCUAACACAUGCAAGUCGAACGAGUGGCGGACGGGUGAGUAAUGUCUGGGAAACUGCCUGAUGGAGGGGGAUAACUACUGGAAACGGUAGCUAAUACCGCAUACCAUCGGAUGUGCCCAGAUGGGAUUAGCUUGUUGGUGGGGUAAAGGCUCACCUAGGCGACGAUCCCUAGCUGGUCUGAGAGGAUGACCAGCACCACUGGAACGGGGACACGGUCCGGACUCCUACGGGAGGAAGAAGUGGGGAAUAUUGCACAAGGGGGGCAAGCCGGAGGCAGCCAUGCCGCGUGUAUGAAGAAGGCCUUCGGUUUGUAAAGUACUUUCAGCGGGGAGGCGUUACCCGCAGAAGAAGCACCGGCUAACUCCGUGCCAGCAGCCCCGUAAUAC